rnacentral:lncRNA from 1 species
GGGUAGGUUAGUGGUAGACAUGACUGUAUGUAGUGUUAUGAUAUGAGGGUAGGUUAGUGUUAGACAUAUCUGUAUGUAGUGUUAUGAUAUGAGGGUAGGUUAGUGUUAUGAUAUGAUAUGAGGGUAGGUUAGUGUUAUGAUAUGAGGGUAGGUUAGUGUUAGACAUGUCUGUAUGUAGUGUUAUGAUAUGAGGGUAGGUUAGUGUUAGACAUGUCUGUAUGUAGUGUUAUGAUAUGAGGGUAGGUUAGUGUUAUGAUAUGAUAUGAGGGUAGGUUAGUGUUAUGAUAUGAGGGUAGGUUAGUGGUAGACAUGUCUGUAUGUAGUGUUAUGAUAUGAGGGUAGGUUAGUGUUAUGAUAUGAGGGUAGGUUAGUGUUAAACCAGACUGUAUGUAGUGUUAUGAUAUGAAGGUAGGUUAGUGGUAGACAUGUCUGUAUGUAGUGUUAUGAUAUGAUGGUAGGUUAGUGGUAGACAUUUCUGUAUGUAGUGUUAUGAUAUGAGGGUAGGUUAGUGUUAUGAUAUGAGGGUAGGUUAGUGUUAGACAUGUCUGUAUGUAGUGUUAUGAUAUGAGGGUAGGUUAGUGGUAGACAUGUCUGUAUGUAGUGUUAUGAUAUGAUGGUAGGUUAGUGGUAGACAUUUCUGUAUGUAGUGUUAUGAUAUGAGGGUAGGUUAGUGUUAUGAUAUGACGGUAGGUUAGUGUUAGACAUGUCUGUAUGUAGUGUUAUGAUAUGAGGGUAGGUUAGUGGUAGACAUGUAUGUAUGUUGUGUUAUGAUAUGAGGGUAGGUUAGUGUUAUGAUAUGAGGGUAGGUUAGUGGUAGACAUGACUGUAUGUAGUGUUAUGAUAUGAAGGUAGGUUAGUGGUAGACAUGUCUGUAUGUAGUGUUAUGAUAUGAGGGUAGGUUAGUGUUAUGAUAUGACGGUAGGUUAGUGUUAUGAUAUGAGGGUAGGUUAGUGUUAGACAUGUCUGUAUGUAGUGUUAUGAUAUGUGGGUAGGUUGGUGGUAGACAUGUAUGUAUGUAGUGUUAUGAUAUGAGGGUAGGUUAGUGGUUACUUUAUCCUAUCCCAGGUAUUCCUUAAAGAGGUGGGGUUUCAGGUGUCUCCGGAAGGUGGUGAUUGACUCCGCUGUCCAGGCGUCGUGAGGGAGCUUGUUCCACCAUUGGGGUGCCAGAGCAGCGAACAGUUUUGACUGGGCUGAGCGGGAACUGUGCUUCCUCAGAGGUAGGGAGGCG